rnacentral:rRNA from 1 species
AUUGAACGCUGGCGGCAGGCCUAACACAUGCAAGUCGAACGAGUGGCGGACGGGUGAGUAAUGUCUGGGAAACUGCCUGAUGGAGGGGGAUAACUACUGGAAACGGUAGCUAAUACCGCAUACCAUCAGAUGUGCCCAGAUGGGAUUAGCUAGUUGGUGGGGUAACGGCUCUCCAAGGCGACGAUCCCUAGCUGGUAAGCGAGGAUGACCGGAAACACUGGAGCUGAGACACGGUCCAGACGCCUACGGGAGGCAGCAGUGGGGAAUAAUGCACAAUGGGGGCAAGCCUGAUGCAGCCAUGCCGCGUGUAUGAAGAAGGCCUACGGGUUGUAAAGUACUUUAAGCGGGGAGGCGUUACCCGCAGAAGAAGCACCGGCUAACUCCGUGCCAGCGGCCGCGGUAAUAC